GACGAACGCUGGCGGCGUGCUUAGCACAUGCAAGUCGAACGGAAAGGCCCUGCUUGCAGGGUACUCGAGUGGCGAACGGGUGAGUAACACGUGGGUGAUCUGCCCUGCACUUCGGGAUAAGCCUGGGAAACUGGGUCUAAUACCGGAUAGGAGCCAUUUUUAGUGUGAUGGUUGGAAAGUUUUUUCGGUGUAGGAUGAGCUCGCGGCCUAUCAGCUUGUUGGUGGGGUAAUGGCCUACCAAGGCGGCGACGGGUAGCCGGCCUGAGAGGGUGGACGGCCACAUUGGGACUGAGAUACGGCCCAGACUCCUACGGGAGGCAGCAGUGGGGAAUAUUGCACAAUGGGCGCAAGCCUGAUGCAGCGACGCCGCGUGGGGGAUGACGGCCUUCGGGGUGUAAACUCCUUUCGCUAGGGACGAAGCUUUUUGUGACGGUACCUAGAUAAGAAGCACCGGCUAACUACGUG
rnacentral:rRNA from 1 species